CGCGGAUACCUGCAGCCAUGUCGCUGCUCUUCUGUUUAAAGUAGAAGCAACAGUGUUGAUCCGUGGCACAAGGACUGUUACAGAUGAACCUGCAUACUGGGUUUUGCUGGGUAAUAAGACCAAGAUACAGCCAGAGGUUGGCCAUAAGACAGACUUCUCCUCUUUAACUGCCCCAAAAAAGCCUCUCGAUCAAAACAUAAACAGCAUGAAUAAUAUAUUUAAAGCUAUGUUGGACAGAAGAAAAGUAUAUAUUUCUUAGACAACGCGAAAUCUGCACAAAGAUAACAUUUUCAUGUCAUAAUAUUCUUUCCGUUAUACCGCUAGCAUAAAGUUAUAUUAACAAUGGUGCUGUAAAGUUGUUAGCAAUGUGUCAGCUUGGCGACCUGCCACAGAGUACCUUUGUGAUGACACAAAGCUAUAUUGUGUGUGAUGGUGUAUGCAGCGUGUUGCUGGGAGAGAGCGUCAGCUUCAUAGUAACGUUGUCAAUGAGGUCAGACUCAGACCGCAGCGAAUCGAGGGCGGAGUCAGCUCACCUCGCCAACGACUCUAACGGCCGCCACUCCCACCCAGCGGAUCACUGCAGCACAUCAGGUACCUGUGCUGCAGCAGUGAGGCCGAGCUGUGGGAUUGGAUCACGAGCCUUCUCAGAGCUCAGGUACGUUUACCUGCACGCUGGUCUGGGAUCAGCCGUCGCUCCUGUGUCUGGCCAUCAUUGAUGUGCAUCGAUGGCGAGAGGCUUCGUGGAGACUCUGGAGCAGAGCAGCAGCAGCGGAGGAGCCAGCGGAGGCGAUGGAGAUGCAGGCUCUCCAGACUCAGACGCCGCCGGCCAGCCCGCGGUGAGAAGGAGGCAGACGCUGCAGGGAGUCUGCACGCCAUUGCAGGAACUGUUCCUGCAGGAGCUGUCCUCCAGCUUCAUCAAGAAGACCACGGAGGAGGAGCAGGGGGAAGAGGAGAGGCCCUACGAUGUCUGAGGACCGAAAGGUGGAGUCACAUAAUCUCUCUCCAUUCACAGCACGCCAGCAGUCGACUCAAGGUGGCCAUUCAGGUUACAGAGACAACGAUCACAUGACCUCCUACAGGACCCGUCAGGCAGACUUUACUGUAAAAGCUGCGGCUGAGGAGGGCCAUGUGUUGCGGUCGCCUGUAGGUGAUUGGAGCUCAGUUCGGGGCUGUGCUAACAUCAGCGGCUCUCUUUUUCAGCCUGCGUGCAGCGUUCUCUGCAGCCAGGAGAGGGCGCUGUAUCAGUUUGUACUUAACAGACUGAGAGCUGAGUCAUUCUGUUUAUUUAACAGGAAGUUUAAUCACACGUGUUUGAAUGUGAAUGACUCACAGAUGGUCAAAAAUGUUUUUAUGAUAUUUUAAUGUUUCCAACGAGUCUAAUCUUAUAUCUCACAUCAGUAACCUUCUCUAACCUGUCAGUUCAAAUACUCAAUGAAGCUCACACAGGUAAAGGAGGAAGGUGUCACCGUGCGUGUGACUCAGUAACAGGUAACCCGCAGCAUUGUUCCUGUGGAUUUGUUUAAAUAAAGUUAAAAGAGACUAAGUGACAGAGAGCCGGCUUCAGUGACGACUCUGAGAUUACACAUCAGAUUACACAAACGAUGACAUCAUAGAAACGCGGCGCUGUGAAGAUUAAAUUGAAGUAAACAAGCUGCAACAUGUGGAACAAAUCAAACUGUGUACACAGUUGGUCACAUCUAAACGCAGGCGCCUCAUUGGUCAGUUCUACACGUCUGCGUGUAAAGUGACCAAUGAGGCGCCUGCCUCAGUCUUAAACUGGCGGUCUGGAAGUCGUGCAAGUUGGUUUGGCGCCUCCUGCUGGGACAGUGUAACGUGUUCUUCCUGUCGCUCUGUCAGCACUAAUGCUGCAUUUCCUGUGAAGACUUCAUAAUAAAAGUCAUGUGAUGAAGUUCAUAGUACUGCAAAAGUAGGAGUACUGCAGUACUUCCAUCAGUUAUCACUUUGUAUUAGUUUGGAAGCUGUAUGAACAUUUUUAUAAACGUGUUAUUCAUAUAAAGACACUUGUAAUCAUAUCUGCAGUAACACACACGUGUGUAUUUAUGGGAGUGUUUCCCAGUAGCCACAGUGUUCCAGUAAAGCGCUGGUGAGGACAGGCUGGCCUCACUGGUUUGUGUUAAUGAAACCUCCGUCUGCUCAUGUUCCUGUACAGAUUUGUGAUGUGUUAUUAAACUGCUGGUUUGCUGCAAAC